UAAAAAAGGAAAAAAAGUGAUAUCGUUCUCGUUUCUGUGAAGAGGGGGAGGGAGAGGAAAAGGCGGCGACGUGAGUAAACCAGUUUCGCUUUAGCUUCUUCCUCUUCACAAAAUCUCCCGACUAAAACUUUCGCUUCCUCUUUGCUCUAAUUCCCUUCGAUUCGACUCUUACCUCUGUCUCUCUCUCUUACUCGUUUUCGCUUCAUUGCUCGAAGCCCUAGCGGUCUCCAUCAGCGGAUUCUACGGCGGAAUCAAUAUCCGGUGAAGAGUCGAAGUUUCUCUGGGCUUCGGCGAUUUCGUUUCGGUGUUUCUAUUCUGAACUCAAAAUUAGGGUUCUUAUUCAGAGUCGCCGAUGGCUCCAAGCCGUAGAAAAACGGGGAGCAAAGGCAUCGCGAAAGGAGAGUUGAGACUGGGUGAUCUCGUUCUUGCUAAAGUCAAAGGCUUUCCUGCUUGGCCUGCUAAGAUCGACCGGCCCGAAGAUUGGGAUCAUGUACCAGACCCAAAGAAAUACUUCGUUUAUUUCUUUGGAACACAGGAAAUAGCUUUUGUUGCGCCUCCUGAUAUUCAAGCUUUCACUAGUGAGGCAAAGAGUAAACUGUUAAAAAGAUGUCAAGGUAAAACGGUCAAGCACUUCGCACAAGCUGUGGAGGAGAUCUCCGCUGCAUUUGAGAAGUCGCAGAAUCGCAAGUCAGAUAACUUGGGUAGUGAGGCGCUUUUGAAUGCUGUUGAGCCUAGUUUGACCAAGGCUAAGGCAUUGGAUGAAACAGAUCAUAGAGACACUGGUGAUGAUGAGAAUUCUGAUAAGUUUGAUUCUAGGGCGGAUCCUGGUCUCCAUAAAGUAGUUGAGAAUAAUGGUGCUGAGACAAAGCCUUGCAUAGGAGAGGAAGAUUCAUCCCCGGGUGGUGACGGACAGGAGCCUGGCUCGGAUAAAAGAUCUAAAGAUGAGGUUCUUAGAGCCAAGCGUCUGCCUGAUAGUCGAGCUGCUACAGAUAAUAAUCCCAUUGGUCCUAACCAGAAAUUAAAGGGCAGUAAGAAGGAAUCUUUUGACAAGAAGGUGGUUUCGGAUCUUAAUAUCGCUGGUUGUGAAAGCUCAAAAAUGUUGCUUAAAGAGAAACCAAGCGCCGGAGUCUCGAGUGAUAAGCAUGAGCAUGCAGUUGGCUCUAAAAAUGGGAGUUUGGGGAAGAAAAAGAGGUCUGAAAGUGAACUUGGAAAGUCUGCAUCAGGAGAAGGUGAGAGUCUACGUGCUGCUAAGAGACAACGACCUGAAGAUCCUAAGGAUCAAAAACCAUCCAAGAGCAAGCGUCUUCGUCCUGAAGGCAAAGCUGAAGGAUCUGAUUCUACUGGCGUUGUGUCAAUUCGAAAGCGUGAGAUUGUUGAUAAGGAAAUGGUCGGUUAUACAAGGCGUCACAAACAGACAGUUGAGCACACAAAAUCUUCCUCCUUUUCUGGCUCUCGUGAUAGAAAGGGAGCAAAUCAUCCGGAACGGAAGAUUAGUUCAUCUUCUGCUGAAUGUGUGAAGGUUUCAGCUGCUCAGCUGCCUAAGAGACGGAGGGCAGUUUAUAUCUAUGAUGAAGAUGACGAUGAAGAGUCAAAGACUCCGGUGCAUGGAGGAGAUACCAAUGUUCGCAACGAUACUUCAGCUUCUACUGAUGGUCCUAAAAGUGCUAAGGCGUCCCAUGAUACUUCUAUUAAAGUGAAGCGAUUUGAAGGAUCUGAAAAAAGUGCCGAAACAGGGAAGGUACCGCUGUGUAAACAUAACAAGGAGGCUUCACUUACACUUCCUGAUAGCGUGGAGGGCCUUUCGUUCAGCUCGCCUAUGGGAAAAUCUGUGACCGAGUUACCCCCAGAGAAUGUCAAGCCAAUCUUAAAAUCUCCUAAGAAAUCCCCCAAGCUGAUUACAUUCAAGAAACAGGUGAAGGGACAAAAUAAAACUGCAAAAGUCUCUGGUGCAGGAAUGCCAGAUAGCGUGGAGGGCCUCUCUAACAGGUCGUCUAUUGGAAACCCAGUCAUCAAGUUACCCACAAAAAAUGUUAAGCAGGUCUUGAGAUCUCCUAAGAAGUCCCCUCAGUUGGUUUCAACUAAGGAUCAGGUGGCAGGACAACAUAAAAUGGGAAAAGUCUCUGGUGUGGGGAUGUCAAAAAAAUGCCAAGGUGAUUCUACUAAGGAUGCAGUGGCUGGUUCUGAUAGAGCUAGCUCUUCUCAAUCUCAGGCAACAAAUCAGAGAAGAAAACCAGCUUUAGGGGAAAAACAAAAAAACACUCCAAAAGUUGCAACUCGUUUGAACGAUGCUGGAGUGUCAAGAGACACAUCUGCUAACUUGUCCGCUGGGAUGAUUGGUGGCAAUCAAGAAAAUGGAAAUACCCCAUUGAUCAGUUCUGGGUUGCCAGAUUCUUCGUCAUCUAUGAAGGUUCUGAUUGCAGCUGCCCAAGCUAAAAGAAAACAAGCACAUACACCUACUUCACCGUCUGUGAAUCUGGACAAUACGUUCUCUGGCAUCGGUGAAACGCAUCUGAGAAAUAACAGCCCUUCCAUGGUUCAGAAAGUUUCAUCUUCUGCUGGCGACGCCAUGGUGAUUGUUACUCUGGGACACGAAGAACAGACGACUCCAUCAAAUCAUGGAAACCAGUCCGGAUCAAGUAACCAAGCUGGGAUUGAAGAGAAUGAAGAGAGAAGAGUUAGCUCAGGGCAUAUGUCAGUUGGGGAUGCUGUCACUGAGGCUGCAAUUUCACGAGAUGCUUUUGAGGGAAUGAUAGAGACCUUAUCCAGAACGAAGGAAAGUAUUGGACGUGCAACACGCCAGGCUAUUCAGUGUGCAAAGCAUGGGAUUGCCAGUGAGGUUGUGGAACUUCUCAUACGAAAGCUAGAAAGUGAGCCUCUUUUCCGACGUAAAGUGGACUUGUUCUUUCUCGUUGAUUCGAUCACACAGUGUUCCCAUAGCCAAAAAGGUAUAGCUGGCGCGUUGUAUAUUCCUACUGUGCAGGCAGCCUUGCCACGCCUUCUAGGUGCUGCGGCUCCGUCAGGGACUGGGGCUCGUGAAAAUCGCCAUCAAUGUCGCAAGGUGUUGAGGUUGUGGCUUGAAAGGAAGAUUUUUCCGGAUUCUCUCCUGCGUCGCUAUAUUGGUGAUAUUAGCACCUCUGGUGGCGAUGCAACUGCAGGGUUUACCUUACGACGUCCUUCUAGAUCUGAGCGUUCUGUAGAUGACCCUAUAAGGGAAAUGGAAGGGAUGCUUGUUGAUGAGUAUGGGAGCUAUGCGAGUUUUCAGCUACCUGGAUUUUUAUCUUCUCAUACUUUUGGAGAGGGUGAAGAAGAUGAGGAUUUUCCAACCACAUCACGGGAAGUUGAAAACACACAAAUUGAAGAAUCAGCCCAUGCUUUAGGAAAAUUAAAGGCAGGUGAUAGUUCGGGUGAUAAAACUCCAUGUGUUCUAGAGGCUGUCAAUGGUGUGCGUGAAAUGGAAGAUGCUUCUUAUCAGCCAAGAGAUGAAGAACGUUCGUAUGAUAGUUCAAGUGAUAAACCUCACUGUGUUUUAGAGGUUGGCAAUGGUGUGCGUGAAAUGGAAGAAGUUUCUUAUCAGCCAAGAGUUGAAGAACCAUCGUAUGUUUGUGGGACUGGAGCAAAGGAGGACUCACCGACUGUAACCACUGCAACUGAGCCUUUUCCAGAGGGUUCUCCUCCGCUGCCUCAUGAAACGCCUCCAUCUCCCCCUCCCCUGCCUCCUUCCCCUCCACCCUCAUCCCCGCUUCCACCUCCAUCAUCUCCACCGCAGCUGCCACCACCCCCACCUCUCUCUGAGCAACGUUCACCUCCACCACUAGCUCCUUUACCACCUCCCCAAUCUAUAGCUACACCACAAUCAUCCAUAACUCAACCGUCCAAGCCUAGCUAUCCUUCGUUACCCCUUCAACCAGGAUUUGCUCCUCCAUAUCCAGUAUUGCAACAUGAAUACCAGAUAUCUACACAGCGGUCUGGCGUUGCCACUAACCAACUACUACGGCCGAGCAGUGCCUCUUUCGGACAUAGCCCAGGGACUAGGCAUCUCGCUCCAGCACCAUCCAGCCAUUUUUCGCUUCCAAGCCGGAUUGUUGAAUUACAACCCCAACGCUCCUCCUUUCCUCAUCCUUGCCCUUUUCCAUCUCAGUCAGUUGAUGCGCCGCGACAUAUGAAUGAGGAUCCAUGGCGGUUGCCUUCAAAUGCACGUCGUGCAGAUACUCAACAUGGAGCCUGGAUACGUGGAAAAAAUCCACUUCCAGGCUCUCUUACGGUUACAGAUGGUUUCGUUCAGCCUCCUCCAGAAAGACCACCUUCAGGGUCAAUGAGCUAUCAACCUGCUGGUAAUAAUAUGCAUGCGGGCCCUACAAUUUUAGGUCAUACUACUUCGCAGAUGCUACCAUCUCGGCCUGACGUACCUUCUGCGGCUUGUUGGAGGCCUUCUUGAAGUUAAGUUUGAAAUAGACUUCUCACCCUUCCAUGGAAGACACUUUUUUGGCGGUAUAUUCACUUCCAGAGGCAUCAAAACUCUUCAGGCUAUUGUCAGGAUACUGCUGUAUAUUGUAAAUUUUCCUGACAAAUGUUAUCACCGGAUCAUGUUCUUCACAGUAUAUGCCCUUGUUUCUAAUUUGGUGUCUCUUCUCUGCAUAACCUAGGUUGUCCUCCCUGGAGCUGUAGCAGGAACAUGAAGCUUGCAUGUAUAAACAACUGCGACUUCAUUCACCGGAUUUUACAAGUAUCCAUAUUGAACGCACUGCUUAUCUGAAGUUUGUUGAGGACUUGAGCUAGGUUUACACUUUGGAACCCGGGAUGGUUGAGUCGUGGAGAUGAGUCCUGGUUGGAUCAAGUUUUUGCGUAAUGUUGAGGUAAAGACAUUGAGCUGGAUGAGCCUAUAAAAAUAGAAGAUUGGAAUCUAACAGAAACGUAUUUGAUCAUAUACUUAAUUGAUUUCUUAGGUAACGUAUUUUAAAAACGCAUAUCCGUACUUUUGGUUUUGAUCGUUCCCCAAAAGUUGUGGGACAAUGAACUAGUAACAUAUGAAACGGUUUAAAAGAAUGUUCUGCAAAAUAAAAAAAUUUAAGUUCAACUCAUAGAAGUUAAUUCUCGAGACUAUGUUGUUUGUUACCCAUUGUGCUAUUACGUUUUACUUUACAUCCACAGCAGAAAUCCACUUCUGUCGCCCGUACUGCUAGUGUUCAGGUUGCUUUUCAUGGUUAUGGCAGAAGUGGAAGUGUUAAGGGAGACUAACGAUGAUGAAGGUGCAGCAGUGUUGACGACAUUUUUUUAUCAUGCUUUUAAAUGUUCCAUUUAGUUCAACACUUGCAAAUUUGUAUGCUUGUUUUUAAAACUGUGGAUUUAUGCUUUAUAUUUUUAGAUUGUUGAUGAAAUAUAUAUUACAUUAUUUUA